rnacentral:misc_RNA from 1 species
GGUAGUGCCUUUUGUCAAUGGAAGUGCUCGUCGAACGUAGAAAUAAAGGUGCACCUUUUGAAAGCCUUGCACUUGGAACAAGGUACAUGCCUAAGCGCAUAAAGUGAGAGCCUGGUGAAUGUUGCCUCCCUUUCUCCUGUAAACGCGCUUAGGUUGGAGCCCAAUGAGCCUUGAGCUUGAGGUGUGUUUAAGGUGCACUUUUAAUGACUAUGAUUUUUAAAUAAAAAGUUGGAGCAACAGCUCAUAAAACUUGGGGAUAAUCUUGUUAAUCCUCCUUCAUGUGUUGAUGAACUGCUUACUCUUCUCUAUCAAGUCGAUAAUUGUUUUAUCAAGUGGAGCAAUUCCUUACAAAAUCUAUGCAAAAUGCAAUUACCCCAUCUAUGAAAGCACUAGUCGCACAUCACAUUUUUAGGCAUUUUGAUGUUGAUGCUAAAGCAGCAGUUGCCUCUUGUCUUGGUGAAAUAACCAAGAUACCUGCUCCAGAUGCUUCCUAUGAUGAUGAUCAAAUGAAAGAUGUUUUUAAGUUGAUUAUCUCAUCAUUUGAACAUCUAGUUGACCAGUCUAGUCGAUCAUACAGUAGAAGAUUUCUAAUUCUUGAAACUGUUGCAAGAGUUCAGUCAUGCUUGGUGGUGUUGGAUCUUGAAUGAGAUGAUUUAAUAAUCAAAAAGUUCCAGCAUUUCCUUAAUGGUACAAGAGAUAAGGAUUAUCAUCUUGAGAUUUUUUUUUUUUUCAUUUA